UCUCCGUAGGUGAACCUGCGGAGGGAUCAUUACAGAGUUCGUGCCCUCACGGGUAGAUCUCCCACCCUGUGUUAUUAUACCUUUGUUGCUUUGGCGGGCCGCCCUCGGCUACCGGCCCCGACUGGUACGCGCCCGCCAGAGGACCCCAAACUCUGAAUGUUAGUGUCGUCUGAGUACUAUACAAUAGUUAUAACUUUCAACAACGGAUCUCUUGGUUCUG
rnacentral:misc_RNA from 1 species